CCUCGCUUCCUGCUUGGCACACCUGGGACCAGCUCCACUUCCACUCAAGGGAGGUUUCCUGCUCAGCUUCAGUAGAGGGAUUCCGGAGAACUCUAUAUGAUGCCGUGAGAGGGAAGGAAGGCGCGGGCUGUGGAGUCAGUCUGGGUUCCGCCCUGAUCUCAUGCGAGGAGGAGCUGAGUUUGCCUUGGGCCAUCUGGUUUCUCAGAUUCUUAGUGGUUUAAUCUCAAAAGAGUUGCAUAGCAGUGUUUGCCUCACUCAGUGUGAAGCUGCAAGGGAGCGCACACCUGCCCCAGGCCGUGUCUGGAGCACUGUGGGUGCUGACAGCUAUCACCCUCCAUUUCCUCUCUUUUGCUGAACAGAAAGUAGCUUCACCUGGAGACCAUGGCAUCCACUUGAUGAGUCCACAUUGCUGUCAUCUUUUGUUGGAAAUCUCUUCUAGAAAUGCCUGUUCUUUGGCUGGAAAAGGUUAAGAUUCAGGUCAUUCUACAAAACCCACCAAGCAGCCGUGUGAAAUAUGACACAGAUCUUCAAACCACAGACCUUACUGAAGGGGCUAAGGAGUAGAAGGCUGAAAGAAAGACUGUUCGUUCACUUUCAAGCACGAAUCUUCCACUGCUGUGAGACGCCGAUGCCCGAAUUUUCAGAGAAUUGCUUUGCUCCUUUCUUCCUACGAGAGAAAAGCACGAAGCCCCUUUCCCUGCUGCCGACUUUCCCGUCUGCCCCUGGUGCCAGGCCGCCUGCGUUUUCACAGGAAACUCCGCCGACGAGGAGCUGUGUAAGAUGUCUGCCUGAGGUACGGUCACUUUCUGCAGACUUAGAGCAUGAAAUAAUCAGGACAACAUGUCAGCCAGGUCAUACCCUUCGGUUGACUAUAGUUUUGUCUGGGAGUGAAAUUUUAAACUGCCAAGCAACUUCUGUGUUAUGUUGUAAUCAUUUAGAGCCUUCCCAUUUUUAUAAGACUUUUGACUUAUCUGUUUCUUGCUUAAAUGCUUUCUUCUUCAGUUAUGCCUUUCCCGGAUGGACAUGUAGGCUGUGCUAUGUCUUGAGAGGCACAGGGAAUCCAGUCACUGAGGCGUGCUCACUGUGGCUUCAACCACGGGCAUCGAUUUCUCCCCUAAAACCCUCGAGGAGACACUUGGGGGCUGUUCUCCUGGCUUCCUCAGCUGCACGUUCACACCUGUGUCUGGGCCUCAUGGCCUCCCUCACCGGGCCGCAUAGGAAGGUCAGGUGCAGGGAAGCUUCUGUGGGCGGUAGGGGCUGGGGGUGUCUUGUGCGCUGCUUCCUCUCCCUCCUUUUUUCUUUCUCUUUUUUUUCUUUUUCUUUUUUUUUGUUAUUGUUUUAAAUCAUGGAGGAAGAAUGAUCCCCAGAAUCUCACCCCGCUGGACUUACCCUUGGUCUCAUUGGCCAGAGCUGGCCACGUGACUACCCUACUGGCCAUGGAAAUUGAGGCAGCAAAUACCUGGGUUUUCAGGCUAUGGUGGGAACAGCUGUUGGGAACGGCACCCGGGUCUCAAUCGUGGACUGAAGUAAAGCCAGCUGCAGGUCCUCAUCCUGCCGCCCCGUCCCUGCAACGAACUGCAGCCCCUCUCAUCAACAGGGGGCUCCUUCCCCACCUUUGGAGGCCGGGCAGCCUCUGUCUUGCUUUGGCCAGUAGGAUGGGGGCCUGGCCCAGCCUACGCUCAAGACGCCCUGAGCUCUUGCAGUUCCCACAAAGCCCUGUACUGUCACGAGCUGAGAGUCUCUGCGGGGCCCACCUGUCAUGGGAGGGGGCUUGGCAAAGCUCAGCGAAGCCACCCCGCCGACUGGCUGAGCAGAUACAUUCAUUCUCCUCCGCCCCAGCUCAGAUCGCAGCCCUGCCCCAACACCACCUCGACGGUGAGCAGGCAACGGUGGUGGUGGUUACAUGCACAGAGGUUUGUGGUUAUUUCUUGUGGUUACCACUGUGGCCGUAGAUAACUGAUAAUGGAAACAAUAGAGGGAUAAAGAUGUGUAAAUACAGAAAAUCACUCUGAAGUCUACCCUGCAGAGAAAACUAUUAUUAACACUUGGCAGGGGUGCCUUUAUUUUUCUAUAUACUCCUUUUUCAAGUGUCGACAUUAUACGGUAUGUAAUUUUUUUCAUUGAAGGGUAUACGUUUGUUGUUCAUUUUAAUGAACACUGUUCUUAAAUAUCAGUGUAAUAACAUGUAAAUAUUGGGUUAUUUGUAGAGUUCAAAAUUUGUAUAAGCAUUCCAAUUUUGGAUAUUUGAAUUUUUAAAAUAUUAAUGCAAUGAACAUAUCAAUACAUAAUAUUUUUGCUCAUAUGCACUUUACUUCUUUCCUUAAGAUGUAUUCUUAGAGAUGGAGGUCCUGGGC
rnacentral:lncRNA from 1 species